UGUAGUUUGCCUAUAUAGAGGGUGUCGGAACCUUCUAUAUAGACAAACUACACGA
rnacentral:pre_miRNA from 1 species